GAGUUUGAUCGUGGCUCAGAACGAACGCUGGCGGCAUGCCUAACACAUGCAAGUCGAACGGGAUCCUAGCUUGCUAGGUGAGAGUGGCGGACGGGUGAGUAACACGUGGGAACCUGCCUUUUGGUUCGGGAUAACCGCGGGAAACUGCGGCUAAUACCGAAUGCCCUCGUGAGAGGAAAGAUUUAUCGCCAGAAGAGGGGCCCGCGUCCGAUUAGGUAGUUGGUGGGGUAAAGGCCUACCAAGCCGACGAUCGGUAGCUGGUCUGAGAGGAUGAUCAGCCACACUGGGACUGAGAUACGGCCCAGACUCCUACGGGAGGCAGCAGUGGGGAAUAUUGGACAAUGGGGGCAACCCUGAUCCAGCAAUGCCGCGUGAGUGAUGAAGGCCUUAGGGUUGUAAAGCUCUUUUGCCAGGGAAGAUGAUGACUGUACCUGGAGAAUAAGCCCCGGCUAACUUCGUGCCAGCCGCCGCGGUAAU
rnacentral:rRNA from 1 species